ACUGAUUGAUGGUGCUUGCACCUGAUUGACGAUGGAUCACCAGUGAGUGGCGGACGGGUGAGUAACACGUAGGUAACCUGCCCCGGAGCGGGGGAUAACAUUUGGAAACAGAUGCUAAUACCGCAUAACAACAAAAGCCACAUGGCUUUUGUUUGAAAGAUGGCUUUGGCUAUCACUCUGGGAUGGACCUGCGGUGCAUUAGCUAGUUGGUAAGGUAACGGCUUACCAAGGCGAUGAUGCAUAGCCGAGUUGAGAGACUGAUCGGCCACAAUGGAACUGAGACACGGUCCAUACUCCUACGGGAGGCAGCAGUAGGGAAUCUUCCACAAUGGGCGCAAGCCUGAUGGAGCAACACCGCGUGAGUGAAGAAGGGUUUCGGCUCGUAAAGCUCUGUUGUUGGAGAAGAACGUG
rnacentral:rRNA from 2 species